UAUUUGACUGGCAACUUGCUAAUGGGAGAACUGCUUGAUUGGAUGCGACAGAUGUUACUUGACAACGGAUAUCUUUCUUUACAUAGCCUGUAUCCUCCUGCCUAAUUCCAAUGCCGCUUCUGUUCAUCUUAAAUGUUUAUUAAACCUCGUCGAAUAUAAUCUUAUAAUGCUUAUUGUUGACCACAUAUUGAUCUUGGAGUGGAGUUGUUCCAUGCUUGAAGAGCUUCAAUUGUCCAAAAUGAGGACUACAAAAGGAAUUCUUUUAUGGAGGCUGAUUUGAUAUGUUCAAACAUAAUACAAAGUAUGGAAAGGAAGUUGCAGGUAGCAAUUGAAGCUAUUGAGUGUGGUAAGAGCACCCUGGUAUUUACCUUAAGCAGUAUGGUAUGAGACUUGUAAAAUGUUGCAGGUAGCAGGAGUUUUUAUGGUGGUCAUGGUUGUGGAUUUUAUUAUUUUAGAUCAUUAAUGUGGUCUUGAAUUUUGCUUAUUUUGGAUAAUGAAUGUGUGGAUUUGCUGAAUUCAUUUGAGAAAUGAGCUGGAAAAACGGAUGAACAAUUUAAUAUUCAAUGCAUCAUCAAGAUGGGGCCUACAGUGACAGUAUCUUCUCCUAUUUUGAUCAAACCAACUGCCAUGCUGGAUGUGAUUAC